GGGGAAAGGAACUAACAAGGAUUCCCCUAGUAACGGCGAGUGAAGAGGGAAGAGCUCAAAUUUGAAAGCUGGUACCUUCGGUAUCCGCGUUGUAACCUCGAGACACGUUUUCCGUGCGGCGCUAUGGACAAGUUCCUUGGAACAGGACAUCGUAGAGGGUGAAAAUCCCGUACUUGCCAUGGAUGUACCGUGCUUUGCGAUACGUGCUCUAAGAGUCGAGUUGUUUGGGAUUCCAGCUCAAAAUGGGUGGUAGACUCCAUCUAAAGCUAAAUAUCGGGGAGAGACCGAUAGCGAACAAGUACCGUGAGGGAAAGAUGAAAAGCACUUUGGAAAGAGAGUUAAAAGUACGUGAAAUUGUCGAAAGGGAAGCGCUUGAAGUCAGCCAUGCCGCUCAGGACUCAGCCUGGCUUUUGCUUGGUGUAUUUUCCUGGGUAGCAAGGUCAGCAUUGGGUUUGGAAUCGUCCGGAGUAAGCAUAAGUCCGGAAUGUGGCGCCCUUCGGGCGUGUUAUAGCCUUUCUAUUUGGAUAACGAACGAAUCUAAGACCAAGGGAAACGCAGCGCGCCUUAUGGGCGGGGUCUUUCGGAACACCUUUCGCGCUUAAAGAAUGCUGGGCGUAAAGGGCUUUAUAUUGCCCG
rnacentral:rRNA from 1 species